AGCAGCCGCGGUAAUUCCAGCUCCAAUAGCGUAUAUUAAAGUUGUUGCAGUUAAAAAGCUCGUAGUUGAAUUUCGGGAUCAGUACGUCGGUCGUGCCUCGGUACGUACUGUCGUCAUUGGUUUCUCCCUUCUGACGAACCAUGAUGUCAUUAAUUUCGUGUUAUGGGGAGUUAGGACUGUUACUUUGAAAAAAUUAGAGUGUUUAAAGCAGGCAUUAGCUUGAAUACAUUAGCAUGGAAUAAUGAAAUAGGACGUUCGAUCCUAUUUUGUUGGUUUCUAGGAUCAACGUAAUGAUUAAUAGGGAUAGUUGGGGGCAUUAGUAUUCAAUUGUCAGAGGUGAAAUUCUUGGAUUUAUUGAAGACUAACUACUGCGAAAGCAUUUGCCAAGGAUGUUUUCAUUAAUCAAGAGCGAAAGUUAGGGGAUCGUAGACGAUCAGAUACCGUCGUAGUCUUAACCAUAAACUAUGCCGACUAGGGAUCGGAUGAUGUUAAUUUUUUAAUGACUCA
rnacentral:rRNA from 1 species